AGAGCUGUAACACAGUUUGUCCAAGACCCGAGAGCUGUGAUGCACCAAGGGCUUUAAUGUCCGUUGCUCCAAAUCUUUGUUGUGAGGAGACAAAGAACCAAGGAACAUACACUCGCGUGACAAUUCCAAACCUCCAAUGACUGUGCAAAAUUAGUAAAUCAUAUUUGAUCUGCAAACCAGAAAUAAUCAUUUGAGGAUGGAUAGCGUAUUCCUGGGUAAUACAUGUUUUCUUAUCUUAAAGUGUUAGAUCUACUUUUGUUUAACUUACCGGUGGCUAGAAUUGUUGCUUUCAUCUUUAGAAAAUCAUUGAAUGAAAAGUAAACCUAGAUUUGGGGCUUUGAACUGAUGCUAAUGGGAUAAGACUCCAGAAAGUUGGCAGGAAGUGACUGUAUUUUGUAAAAGAUAAAUCACUGGACCAGAGGAUAGGCCAUAAGAGGCAGGAUUUUACUCUGGUCCCUCAAACUCCCACCUCUUUUUGUGCCACAGUAUCUAGUCUUCUUGUCUUGAGUGAAGCUGGAGCUAGAGAAUAUGAUGGGACAUUACUCCCAUGAUUAGGUUACGAGUCAGUUGACUGAGUUACUAAAAAAAGGAGAUUAUCUUUGCUGGGCCUGACCUAACCAGGGGAAUCCUUAAAAGGCAUGGUGCUAGGCAUCUCCUGAAGUCAGAGAGUCAUAGUAGAAAACAUUCUCUUGCUGACUUUGAAGAGACAAGUUGCUAUGAGUCCCGCAACCACAAUGAAUUGAACUGUAUCAAUAAUCUGAAUGAACUUGGAAAGGACCCCGAGGUCCAGAUAAGAACACAGCCUGACCAACACUGAGACACAAGAUUGCAGCCUUGUGACGUCUGAGCUGAGAAGUUGGUGGGGAUAGCACCAGGAUUUCUGACCUAUGGAGCGCCUCCCUGAAAGGGUCUCAAGAAUUCUCUGGGAUCCCUGGACCCGCCUUGAGAAGUGCUGUGCUCAAGAAAGGAGUAAGCAACCAGCCAGAGAAUCACUGUUCUUGUCUCCAUGGAGAGGCUCCGGGUGAUACUGGUGGUCUCUGAAGAUACAAGGAUGAAGUCCAGAAAAUACCGUUUAGGUAGCAACUUUUCUGUUCCCCUUAUCUCUUCUCUGUCUUCCAUCUUGAACAGUGGAAGCAUCGGAAAUACAGGUAAUCGAUGUGGAGGAGGAAGGAUAGCAAAAGGAGAAAGAGAAUUAUCCAACCAGAUCUCCUCUCCCCCAUGGCAGCCUUCCUGCUUGCAGCAGUCCUGAGGUGGGGAAAGACAGCCUGGGUUUAAGACUGAUCCUUUUAAUCCAGCAUUUUUCAGAGGAUCUUUUGCUGCCACAAUGAUUAGAUAAGAAAAUGGGACUGCCUGAAUUUUCAUUUGGGGUGAAGAAAAGGACCUCCAUAGAAUAAAUGCAGUGAAAAGUGAAAGAGUUAAUCUCUCAGUCGUGUUCGACUCUUUGUGACCCCAUGGACUGUAGCCCACAGGCUCCUCUGUUUAUGGGAUUCUCUAGGCAAGAAUAUUGGAAGUGGGUUCCAUACCUUCCUCCAGGGGAUCUUUUUGACCCACAUCUUCUUCAUUGGCAGGUGGAUUCUUUACCACUGUAACUGGGAAACCCUGAAUAAAUGUAAGUGGGUAGAAAAGAAAA